CCAGAGACAGAUAUGGAUGCUACUGUGCUGUGGUGAGGCCCUGAAUCCCAGCAUCUUGGGUGUACCAGUCCCAGUGACAACAAGCAGCUCACUUGGACAUGCUACAUUAAUGGCCUGUCAACCCACCAGUACCAAGCCCCGUGGGGAGCAGAGGAAGCCUUGGAUGAACAUAGAAAGAAUGAGUGAAGUCCUGAAGCUGUAUGAGGAAUAAAGCCCUGAGCAGAGUUUCAUGGCUACAGAUGCCCAGUUAGGGAGCAGCCUUUAUUCCUAAAUGUAUUGUGUAACUAAUUCAGAAUAUGAGCCAAAGAAAUAAACUGUUACUUUCAGGCUAA